GAUGAACGCUAGCGAUAGGCUUAACACAUGCAAGUCGAGGGACCGGCGCACGGGUGCGUAACGCGUAUGCAACCUGCCUGUAAUUAGGGAAUAACCCGGUGAAAGUCGGACUAAUACCCUAUAUUGAAAGUUGAUUACAGAUGGGCAUGCGUCCCAUUAGCUGGCUGGUAAGGUAACGGCUUACCAAGGCAACGAUGGGUAGGGGGACUGAGAGGUUGACCUCCCACACUGGUACUGAGACACGGACCAGACUCCUACGGGAGGCAGCAGUGAGGAAUAUUGGUCAAUGGGCGAGAGCCUGAACCAGCCAAGUCGCGUGAAGGACGACGGUUUAUGGAUUGUAAACUUCUUUUGUAGAGGAAUAUGCAUGUACUCUACGAAUAAGUAUCGGCUAACUCCGUGCCAGCAGCCGCGGUAAUACGGAGGAUACGAGCGUUAUCCGGAAUUAUUGGGUUUAAAGGGUGCGUAGGUGGCGUAUUAAGUCAGUGGUGAAAAGCUGCAGCUCAACUGUAGUCUUGCCGUUGAAACUGAUAUGCUAGAGAGGAGACGAGGUAUGCGGAAUGUGUGGUGUAGCGGUGAAAUGCAUAGAUAUCACACAGAACGCCGAUUGCGAAGGCAGCGUACCAGGCUCUCUGACACUGAAGCACGAAAGCGUGGGGAUCAAACAGGAUUAGAUACCCUGGUAGUCCACGUAGUAAACGAUGAAUACUAGAUUUUUGCGUGUAAGAGUCUAAGCGAAAGCGAUAAGUAUUCCACCUGGGGAGUACGCCGGCAACGGUGAAACUCAAAGGAAUUGAGGGGGCCCGCACAAGCGGAGGAACAUGUGGUUUAAUUCGAUGAUACGCGAGGAACUUACCGGGGAUUGAAUUUAGUAGGUGCUGCAUGGUUGUCGUCAGCUCGUGCCGUGAGGUGUCGGCUUAAGUGCCAUAACGAGCGCAACCCGCGUCGAUAGUUACUAACAGCUGAGGACUCUAUCGAGACAGCCGUCGUAAGACGGAGGAAGGGGCGGAUGACGUCAAAUCAGCACGGCCCUUACAUCCGGGGCGACACACGUGUUACAAUGGCAGGCAAAGGGAAGCGACAUGGUGACAUGAAGCGGAUCUCCCCUGUCCCAGUUCGGACGGAGUCUGCAACUCGACUCCGGAAGCUGGAUUCGCUAGUAAUCGCGCAUCAGCCAUGGCGCGGUGAAUACGUUCCCGGGCCUUGUACACACCGCCCGUCAAGCCAUGGGAGUCGGGGGUACCUGAAGGGCGUAGCGCACUAGGGUAAUACCGGUGACUGGGGC
rnacentral:rRNA from 3 species